rnacentral:rRNA from 1 species
CCUACGGGUGGCAGCAGUGAGGAAUAUUGGUCAAUGGCCGAGAGGCUGAACCAGCCAAGUCGCGUGAGGGAAGACGGCCCUACGGGUUGUAAACCUCUUUUGUCGGGGAGCAAAGAGAGUCACGUGUGACUCAUUGAGAGUACCCGAAGAAAAAGCAUCGGCUAACUCCGUGCCAGCAGCCGCGGUAAUACGGAGGAGGCGAGCGUUAUCCGGAUUUAUUGGGUUUAAAGGGUGCGCAGGCGGAGGUGCAAGUCAGCGGUCAAAUUGCGGGGCUCAACCCCGUACUGCCGUUGAAACUGAAGCCCUUGAGUGCGCGAGAAGUAUGCGGAAGGCGUGGUGUAGCGGUGAAAUGCAUAGAUAUCACGCAGAACUCCGAUUGCGAAGGCAGCAUACCGGCGCGCAACUGACGCUCAUGCACGAAAGCGUGGGUAUCGAACAGGAUUAGAUACCCCAGUAGUC